UGCCUGUUCGAGCGUCAUAUAAACACAUCCCUUACGGGGUCUUGGGACCCGCCUCCGGGCGGUCCUUAAAAUCAGUGGCGGUGCGUCUGGCUCUAAGCGUAGUAAUUAUCCUCGCUAUAGAUGUCAGGUGGUUGCUUGCCAACAACCCCUAAUUUUCAACGUUUGACCUCGGAUCAGGUAGGGAUACCCGCUGAACUUAA
rnacentral:misc_RNA from 1 species